UUAAGAGGGUGUUAGUAGCUCCACAGUACGAGUAGCAACAAGUAAAAUGCAGCACAACAGCCAGACGUUUAACAGAGAGAACUGUAGUCGGAGAUGGCCAAGCAUACCUCUCUUGGAAUCACAGCCAAGUCUUGUUCAGAAAGACUGCCCUGAGCUGGGCAGCUAUGCAGAAGCAGUCAGAACAGGAUUUGUGGGCGACUUCAAAUCACUCAUACUGCACACAGGGCAGCGUUGCUUUUAGCCAAGCCUCGCCUUACUCUAUAGAAAUUUCAGCUGAGUUGUUUUCCAGAUUCAAGAGUCUGAAAUAGUGAAGCCAGAGUUUAUCAUCAUCCGGGCUGGGCUGAAGGGAAAAGAGCGGUCAGUCUCAGUCUCCAGAGUCUGUUAAGGUCUGAAGGUUAUCUUUUAAAAAAUACUCAAAUGCAAAGCCUGAAUUUCUGUCUCAAUUGGGAGCAG